UUGUAGAUUACAAAAGAGAAAAAUCAAUCGAACUGCAAGUGUGUACAAUCAACUCAAAUUGCUCAAAGAAGAACAACAAUCGCGCUACGAUUCAUUCAUUGAAACGGGUCUUAGACAGCAUUCGUUAGAAGCGAAUAUCGGCGUACAAACUGCUAAGAUGACAAGACCUUUCCAGUACCUAACGUUUAGAAGAAAAAAAUGUUUAAACUCUGAAGACUGGGUUUAAAAAUAAAAAUACAAUGUCGACAAUCAUUAUUCUACGAUUUAUUUAACUAAUAAAUAUUUACAUUUCUU